ACAGCGCGGGCCCGCGAGCACCGGGAAGUAACGACGACAGCACGUGCACGCUGUAGGCGGGAGGCGGAGCGGCUUCGUCUGAGCUGCGGAGCUCGGGCAGCCCCGGGAAGUCGCCGAGCAGGGCGGCCGGUACCUCAGCGCCCGGCGGGGGACUGAGCGCACGCAGCAGCGGUUCCCCCGGCUCGGUGGCGCCCAGGGAAUUUAUGGAAGCCCAGCUACUUUUCAGCUGAAAUCUCAACAGAGAGAGGCAAACUGAAGCUUCAUUUCUCUCGGCAGCUCAGACUCCUUCCCCAACUCUGGGCAAACAGCUUUCUGUCUAUUUGGUAGAGAGCUUGCCUAUCAACAGAGCUCAGGAACAAGACUGCCACCCAGUGUGAGUGGGAACCCCAGGAAGUCCGGCAGUAGGCUAAUCAUGUCAGAACAAAUGAAGCUAUGUGAGCUGAGACUGUGUGAGCUGCGUGACUUCAGUUGCAUAAAUAGAUACCACAUAUGGCAAUACUCAAGGAACAUAAGUUACAAGGAACCAAGACUCAAAUGCCUUUAACUUCCCACGUGGUAUCAACACCAAUGAAAAACAUGCCGCUGCGGUUUGAAUGUAUUUGGUCACAGAGAGAGAAACGUAAUUGAUACAGGAUUAAACAAAUCCUGCGGAGUUCAAGUGGGCCUGGGUUGAGUUUCCCAAAGCAGCUUCCACAUUCAGACAGGUAACAAUGGUGUGACUCACCUCCCAUAGAUGGCCCACAAUGGGCGCGUCCGCCCAGGAGUGCUCUGCGUUUAUGCCUAUCUUGCUGUUUUUGAAGAUGACAAAGGUGAUGGACUUGUCAAACCACCUAUAGGGAGACAACAUGAUCAUGGGCUUCCAGGGCUAUAUCAACACGGGAACCCGAAAGUUACAUGGGUGUUUCUUUCUGCAGGCACCAAUGACUUCUCCCCACCCCUGACAGUUCUCCAGGUCUUUCCACCCCAGGAAGGUGACUCAAGGGGACACACAGAACAGAGUCAUUCAUAUCUUCUUGUAUCAGAGAUACAAUACAGCUUGUGUGUGAG